AAUAUUGGACAAUGGGGGCAACCCUGAUGCAGCGACGCCGCGUGAACGAUGAAGGCUUUCGGGCCGUAAAGUUCUGUCCUAGGGGAUGAUAAUGACGGUACCCCAGGAGGAAGCCCCGGCUAACUACGUGCCAGCAGCCGCGGUAAUACGUAGGGGGCGAGCGUUGUCCGGAAUUAUUGGGCGUAAAGGGUGCGUAGGCGGCCUUUUAAGUCAGAUGUGAAAGCCCACGGCUUAACCGUGGGACUGCAUUUGAAACUGGAGGGCUUGAGUAUCGGAGAGGGUAGUGGAAUUCCCAGUGUAGCGGUGGAAUGCGUAGAUAUUGGGAGGAACACCAGUGGCGAAGGCGACUACCUGGACGAAAACUGACGCUGAGGCACGAAAGCUAGGGGAGCAAAC
rnacentral:rRNA from 1 species